GCCAGUGACGCAUUGAUGACGCAUUUAUUUAAUUGUUUCAAUUUUGAUCGAUUUGAUAUUUGAUUGUAAGUUUUAUGUUGAAUUCGUGCAUGCGAUGUUCAAUAAAAAAAGAAUCUUUCGUUUUAUAUCCUAAAAUAUCGCUAACUAAAAUUACUAAAAAGCAAGCUCUUCCAUUGGACAUCAAAAAUUUAUAGAAAAUAAAUUUAAUGAAGUGAGCUCUUGAAUAAUAAAUGAUAACUCGAGUGAAAAUCGGCGCAAAUUUAAAAUAUAUUUAUAACAUUCGCAGUUAUUAGCAUUAUUUGCAUGAAAGAAUCGACGAAUUCUGGAGAUAGAAACGGAGGAUUCUGAUUGGUUAAUUCCUUUGUGCAUUUGUGUUAUGCACUAGUGUUCGUGCUUUUAUGCGAAUCGGUCUUGAUAGUGCAAUUGACAAUCAAACUUGUACAAGUGCGAUCGAAGGAUCGGUGCUCUCGCAAAAGCGACAGCAGCAAUUUGAGGUUUUUGUGCGUGAAAUUCACAGAAAAAAAAGAGAAAAACUCGUACAACUGCAAGGAAUACGAACAGCAAGUCGACGAAAAACAACUGACAUAUCCAAACGCUACGAUGGUGGAUUAUAGCAAAUGGAAGAACAUCGAGAUUUCAGAUGAUGAAGAUGAUACACAUCCAAACAUUGACACACCAUCCUUAUUCAGAUGGCGUCAUCAGGCACGAGUUGAGAGAAUGGAAGAACGUAAGAAAGAGCAAGAAGAACACGACAGAAAAAAAACAGAAACAUUGCAGAAAUUAAAGGAUACAAAAGAAAAGUUAGCUAAAUUAGAAAGCGAACAGAAAGAUUCAGCUGAUUUAACUACAUUAAAAAAAGUUAUUCAAGAUCUCGAAAAAGAACAAGAAAAAAUUAAGAAAGAGGAAGAAGAAAUGCAGAAAAAGGAGAGAUUGACACCUUGGAAUGUAGAUACCAUUGGUCAAGAUGGUUUUACAAAAACUGUAAUAAAUACGAAGCCUCCUAGGAACGAUGAUGAUGCUGGUUUGUCUGAUGAAGAAAAGGAGAAACGAAUGAAGCAGUUUGUCAAAGAAAAUGAGAAAAAAUUGAAAGAAUUUGGCAUGCUAAGGAAAUAUGAUGACAGUAAGAAAUUUUUACAAGAGUAUCCACAUUUAGUUUGUGAGAAUACAGCAAAUUAUUUAGUUAUUUGGUGCAUCAAUUUAGAAAUGGAAGAAAAACAUGAUUUAAUGGAACACGUUGCUCAUCAAUGUAUAUGUAUGCAAUACAUAUUGGAGCUAUCGAAGCAAUUGGAAGUUGAUCCACGAGCAUGCGUUGGAUCCUUUUUCAGUCGUAUUCAAAUUGCUGAAGUAGAGUAUAAGAAUUCCUUCGACGAUGAAUUACGAGCGUUUAAGGAUAGAAUACGCAAGAGAGCAGCAGAAAAGGUGGCUGAGGCACUUAGAGAGGCCGAAGAGGAAGAGAGGAAAGCUCGUCUAGGUCCUGGGGGACUUGAUCCGGUCGAAGUGUUUGAAAGUCUUCCAGAGUCUUUACAAAAAUGUUUCGAGUCGCAAGACAUCCCUUUGUUGCAAAAAACGAUAGCUGAGAUGUCGGAGGAAGAGGCGACAUAUCACAUGAAGCGUUGCGUUGACAGUGGUCUAUGGGUUCCUGAUGCAAAAGCCAAGGAAAAGGAGGAACAACAAAAUGUUGCAAAAGAAACACCAGACCCGGAAUAACGGCAUUUUAUUUGAUCGCGCCUACAUAUAGAUACUCAAUGAAAAUCAGUAAACCAUCUCAGUUAUACAGGAGUACUCUUUACACAUAAUAUGAAACAGCUUUGUGUCGCUCAAGAGAUGUUUGAAAGUUCCCGCCAUCGAACUCGAAUGCUCGGAGCGCGAGAUCGAGCUCUCGAUCUCGCGGCGACGGCGUACAUAUACCGGAAGCUCGGACGCCUCGUCCUUUUCCGGUGCGGCGUGUCGCAGGCGAAUAGACGUCGCCGACGGAAUUGCUGUGAUCCAUGUCAUCAUCCCACACCCACCUACGUGUGUCCAAAAUGAGAGGAAUUCUGAAGUAGAAUUAAGAGCGCGAGUUCCUGAGCCCUCGAAAAAAUUCAUUCUUUCUUGCACGGGGUAUGUAUUUCAAUGUUAUGUGACGCGUUCCUGAGUUUCUUUCCGCGCGAAAAAUUCGACAAGUUUCGUCGCGAUUGGAAUAUUUCGAGGAUAUUCGAGCGAAAUUAUUUGACGCGAUUUUUGCUUUUUAAAUUGCGACGCGAUUUUGUUACAAAAACAUGGCAUUUUUUCGCAUUAAUACGAUCGAUAACACGUAAGAUUUUCUUGCACGAGAUUUAUAUAUAUAUAUAUGUAUGCAUAUAUAUACAUAUAUAUAUAUAAUAUAUAUAUAUUUAUAUAACGGGAUCAGUUCGAUGUUUCUCGAAAUAGGGAUUAUGUAACUUUCCAUUUUCGUUUAAAUCGCCCAUUUCGAGCGUAAAGACUGCUUUUGACGUAUAGAUUUUCGUGUAAGAUAUCUGAAAAUUUUGUCGAAAAUAUUUUCGUGAUAUCGGACCGUCGUCCGCGCCAUUUUCAGUAGCCAGGUGAUCGCGCAUAAAGUACAUCGGCCGAGCGACGAGGUAAUCGAAAGCGCGUCGUGACGCACGCAUUCUGGGUAAAAUCGUUGUCGUUUCUCAAAAUGGCUGUCGGGAUGAGUGAUUUCCGUUUCGAGGUACGCCGUGCGAUAUUCAGUUUCCGUAAUAUUCGUCGUUUUCCAGCAGAUCGUUGAAUCGGCGCAGAAAAAAUCGCGGAAAAAUUUUCACCGAAUUAAUUCCGCCUCUUAUCGCAUUGCUCGACAUUCCGCAGAGUUUCUCCACGAAGGAUUUCUUUUACGCUUUAAUAAUCUCUUUUCCGGUCCGCGCGCGCACGCGACGCAUGGAGAAGAGAAUCUGACAGCGCAUGCGCCGAUUCACCCUUCUCCCGCGUGGGCGACCAAUCGCGCUCAUCGUCUUGACGUCGCUGUCACGGAAUUCGUCGAGAGGGAGUCCGAUGACGAGAUGGCGCGCGCGUUGCAUGUCGGGACGUAGGUAGGUAGGCCUCGGAAAGAGGGAAGGGGAGGGUGAGAAGAAGCGACUCGGGUUCACAAAAUGGCGGUCAAGCCCGUGAGUCCAUGAGCAUACAGUACGCGAUCUUCGAUUGAAUGUGCCGUAAUGUCGGACCGUCGACGUCAAUAACGAUUUAUUAUCGCAAACACGUGCUUGCGCGACAGUGCUACGAUUGAAUUUCGGAGGAUUUGCAUGCGGAACGGGAAUACGAGAGGUCGUAGGUGCGACGCGUAGACGGGACCAUGCAG